rnacentral:rRNA from 1 species
GAGGAAUAUUGGUCAAUGGACGGAAGUCUGAACCAGCCAAGUAGCGUGCAGGAUGACGGCCCUAUGGGUUGUAAACUGCUUUUGUAUGGGGAUAAAGUUAGGGACGUGUCCCUAUUUGCAGGUACCAUACGAAUAAGGACCGGCUAAUUCCGUGCCAGCAGCCGCGGUAAUACGGAAGGUCCAGGCGUUAUCCGGAUUUAUUGGGUUUAAAGGGAGCGUAGGCUGGAGAUUAAGUGUGUUGUGAAAUGUAGACGCUCAACGUCUGAAUUGCAGCGCAUACUGGUUUCCUUGAGUACGCACAACGUUGGCGGAAUUCGUCGUGUAGCGGUGAAAUGCUUAGAUAUGACGAAGAACUCCGAUUGCGAAGGCAGCUGACGGGAGCGCAACUGACGCUUAAGCUCGAAGGUGCGGGUAUCAAACAGGAUUAGAUACCCUGGUAGUCCGCACAGUAAACGAUGGAUGCCCGCUGUUGGUACCUGGUAUCAGCGGCUAAGCGAAAGCAUUAAGCAUCCCACCUGGGGAGUACGCCGGCUACGGUG